rnacentral:rRNA from 1 species
GCAGUCGACGAGAGGACAUGGGAAGCUUGCUUCCUAUGAAAUCGAGUGGCAAACGGGUGAGUAACGCGUAAACAACCUGCCCUUCGGAUGGGGAUAACAGCCGGAAACGGCUGCUAAUACCGAAUACGAUCUUUUCGUCGCAUGACGAAAAGAAGAAAGGAUGGCCUCUAUACAAAGCUAUCGCCGAAGGAGGGGUUUGCGUCUGAUUAGCUGGUUGGAGGGGUAACGGCCCAACAAGGCGAUGAUCAGUAGCCGGUCUGAGAGGAUGAACGGCCACAUUGGGACUGAGACACGGCCCAGACUCCUACGGGAGGCAGCAGUGGGGAAUCUUCCGCAAUGGACGAAAGUCUGACGGAGCAACGCCGCGUGAGUGAAGAAGGUCUUCGGAUUGUAAAGCUCUGUUAUACGGGACGAAAAAGACGGAUGCCAACAGUAUCCGUCCGUGACGGUACCGUAAGAGAAAGCCACGGCUAACUACGUGCUAGCAGCCGCGGUAAUACGUAGGUGGCAAGCGUUGUCCGGAAUUAUUGGGCGUAAAGGGCGCGCAGGCGGUUCGGUAAGUCUGUCUUAAAAGUGCGGGGCUUAACCCCGUGAGGGGACGGAAACUGUCGAACUUGAGUGUCGGAGAGGAAAGCGGAAUUCCUAGUGUAGCGGUGAAAUGCGUAGAUAUUAGGAGGAACACCGGUGGCGAAAGCGGCUUUCUGGACGACAACUGACGCUGAGGCGCGAAAGCGUGNGGAGCAAACANNNUUANNNNCCCUGGUAGUCCACGCCGU